GAAACCGGGGCUAAUACCGGAUGGUUGUUUGAACCGCAUGGUUCAAACAUAAAAGGUGGCUUCGGCUACCACUUACAGAUGGACCCGCGGCGCAUUAGCUAGUUGGUGAGGUAACGGCUCACCAAGGCGACGAUGCGUAGCCGACCUGAGAGGGUGAUCGGCCACACUGGGACUGAGACACGGCCCAGACUCCUACGGGAGGCAGCAGUAGGGAAUCUUCCGCAAUGGACGAAAGUCUGACGGAGCAACGCCGCGUGAGUGAUGAAGGUUUUCGGAUCGUAAAGCUCUGUUGUUAGGGAAGAACAAGUACCGUUCGAAUAGGGCGGUACCUUGACGGUACCUAACCAGAAAGCCACGGCUAACUACGUGCCAGCAGCCGCGGUAAUACGUAGGUGGCAAGCGUUGUCCGGAAUUAUUGGGCGUAAAGGGCUCGCAGGCGGUUUCUUAAGUCUGAUGUGAAAGCCCCCGGCUCAACCGGGGAGGGUCAUUGGAAACUGGGGAACUUGAGUGCAGAAGAGGAGAGUGGAAUUCCACGUGUAGCGGUGAAAUGCGUAGAGAUGUGGAGGAACACCAGUGGCGAAGGCGACUCUC
rnacentral:rRNA from 1 species